rnacentral:rRNA from 1 species
UUGAAGAGUUUGAUCAUGGCUCAGAUUGAACGCUGGCGGCAGGCCUAACACAUGCAAGUCGAACGGUAACAGGAAGCAGCUUGCUGCUUUGCUGACGAGUGGCGGACGGGUGAGUAAUGUCUGGGAAACUGCCUGAUGGAGGGGGAUAACUACUGGAAACGGUAGCUAAUACCGCAUAACGUCGCAAGACCAAAGAGGGGGACCUUCGGGCCUCUUGCCAUCGGAUGUGCCCAGAUGGGAUUAGCUAGUAGGUGGGGUAACGGCUCACCUAGGCGACGAUCCCUAGCUGGUCUGAGAGGAUGACCAGCCACACUGGAACUGAGACACGGUCCAGACUCCUACGGGAGGCAGCAGUGGGGAAUAUUGCACAAUGGGCGCAAGCCUGAUGCAGCCAUGCCGCGUGUAUGAAGAAGGCCUUCGGGUUGUAAAGUACUUUCAGCGAGGAGGAAGGUGUUGUGGUUAAUAACCACAGCAAUUGACGUUACUCGCAGAAGAAGCACCGGCUAACUCCGUGCCAGCAGCCGCGGUAAUACGGAGGGUGCAAGCGUUAAUCGGAAUUACUGGGCGUAAAGCGCACGCAGGCGGUUUGUUAAGUCAGAUGUGAAAUCCCCGGGCUCAACCUGGGAACUGCAUUUGAAACUGGCAAGCUUGAGUCUCGUAGAGGGGGGUAGAAUUCCAGGUGUAGCGGUGAAAUGCGUAGAGAUCUGGAGGAAUACCGGUGGCGAAGGCGGCCCCCUGGACGAAGACUGACGCUCAGGUGCGAAAGCGUGGGGAGCAAACAGGAUUAGAUACCCUGGUAGUCCACGCUGUAAACGAUGUCGACUUGGAGGUUGUGCCCUUGAGGCGUGGCUUCCGGAGCUAACGCGUUAAGUCGACCGCCUGGGGAGUACGGCCGCAAGGUUAAAACUCAAAUGAAUUGACGGGGGCCCGCACAAGCGGUGGAGCAUGUGGUUUAAUUCGAUGCAACGCGAAGAACCUUACCUACUCUUGACAUCCACGGAACUUAGCAGAGAUGCUUUGGUGCCUUCGGGAACCGUGAGACAGGUGCUGCAUGGCUGUCGUCAGCUCGUGUUGUGAAAUGUUGGGUUAAGUCCCGCAACGAGCGCAACCCUUAUCCUUUGUUGCCAGCGGUUAGGCCGGGAACUCAAAGGAGACUGCCAGUGAUAAACUGGAGGAAGGUGGGGAUGACGUCAAGUCAUCAUGGCCCUUACGAGUAGGGCUACACACGUGCUACAAUGGCAUAUACAAAGAGAAGCGACCUCGCGAGAGCAAGCGGACCUCAUAAAGUAUGUCGUAGUCCGGAUUGGAGUCUGCAACUCGACUCCAUGAAGUCGGAAUCGCUAGUAAUCGUAGAUCAGAAUGCUACGGUGAAUACGUUCCCGGGCCUUGUACACACCGCCCGUCACACCAUGGGAGUGGGUUGCAAAAGAAGUAGGUAGCUUAACCUUCGGGAGGGCGCUUACCACUUUGUGAUUCAUGACUGGGGUGAAGUCGUAACAAGGUAACCGUAGGGGAACCUGCGGUUGGAUCACCUCCUU